rnacentral:lncRNA from 1 species
ACAGCAAGGGACAGGAACCCAGCAAGGGACAGGAACCCAGCAAGGGACAGCGUUAACCCCGAGCAGAAAAAGUUUGCAGACCCCUGCUACAGUGUCAGCACAUUCCUGUGUGCUAUCUUUGAAUGAAAUGGAGAAGGAUGCUCCAGAGUAGCCACGAAGAAAAUUUGAGUUGCAGUGUUCCACAGGGUGGGUGCGGAUCUCCGUGGAUGCCUCCAGAAACUAGGCAGUUAUUCUAGUUCUUUUUCCCCGUCCCACUCCCUAACUUUAAAAAUGAUGACUCCAAAUAUCACAGAAUGGCCUACAUAGUUCCCUGAAACAGCUGUCCUGCAGAAUCAUGAAAACUUGGGCUAAAAAUAGUC